GUGAUGUACCUGAAGGAGUGAUAAGAGUUUACGCUCCAUUGCACUCAAAGGUUUCCAUGGCGAUCCAGCUGAACAGUCGGACGAAAGCCAAAGACAUCUUGGCAAGGUUUCAGUGCGAAAACAGUAACGGAACACCAGACAGUGACAGAAUAAACAACCAAAGUUUAUAUGAAA